rnacentral:rRNA from 1 species
CCUACGGGAGGCAGCAGUGAGGAAUUUUCUGCAAUGGGCGAAAGCCUGACAGAGCAAUACCGCGUGAGGGAUGAAGACUUACUGAGUUGUAAACCUCGGUGCCUUAAGGAAGAAGAUCUGACGGUACUUAAGGUGGAAAGCAUCGGCUAACUCCGUGCCAGCAGCCGCGGUAAGACGGGGGAUGCAAGUGUUAUCCGGAAUUACUGGGCGUAAAGCGUCUGCAGGUGGUUUUAUAAGUCUGCUGUUAAAUCUUGAGGCUCAACCUCAAAUCUGCAGUGGAAACUAUAAGACUUGAGUAUAGUAGGGGUAGAGGGAAUUUCCAGUGGAGCGGUGAAAUGCGUAGAUAUUGGAAAGAACACCGAUGGCGAAGGCACUCUACUGGGCUAUUACUGACACUCAGAGACGAAAGCUAGGGGAGCAAAUGGGAUUAGAUACCCCAGUAGUCCUAGCCGUAAACGAUGGAUACUCGAUGUUGGACGUAUCGACCCGUUCAGUAUCUUAGCUAACGCGUUAAGUAUCCCGCCUGGGGAGUCGCUCGCAAGNGUAGAACUUAANGAAUUGACGNNGAGACGNGCGAGACGACGACGAGGGAGAG